UGCUAAGGGCAACUAAACCUCUAUUCCUAGACACUGGUUUGGAGACAUCUAUGAACAUAAAAGCAGCAAUAACAACCGCAAAUAAGUUGAGUGUGACAAGGGUAGGCUAUGACACAUCACAACAUGGAUGGAUAAUGCAAAAUCAUUAAAGCUGUGCGUUGGAAACGGCACGCUGUGAGAACCUGCCCACACUUUAUCAUCGGUACCAGAAUAAGCAAUGGAGACAGACUUCUCAAAGAAAGCUUGUAAUUUGGAAUAAAUAGAGGACAUGUGCAGAAUAUUGCGGCAAAGGAAAACCAUAUAGGAAAUAUUUCUGCAUCCCUUGACACUCCAGCUGUAUUGAGAAAUUCUGUAAUGGAGAUGGGCCAGGUGAUGGAAGAACACUCCGCCUAAUUUGACCGUAAGGAAUCCAUGUGGACUUAUUCUUCUCCAGUCUAGUGUUGGACCUAAUCUGUGGAGCGUUGCACUCGUAUCAACAGAUGCCCUCUGCCACAAAAAAAAACAGAAAUAAGGUUAGCACCAAAGCCAUUCUCGGUGUGUUGCCUAUGGUAACGACAGAGAUGGCCGUUCUUUUGGACUCUGGAGCCCCCCCGGACCAGCUGUGCAAUACACCUUGCAAGAAGAAUGCUGUGGGGAUAAGCAUUGAGAAAAGGGCACUGUUUUCCCAAUUCUAAGAUGGUGCCGUGACCCUCUAGGUACGCAGAGUGCAUGCGCUGAGGAGAGCGCCUCUGCUCCACAGCUAAUGGAUUCCGAAACGAUCUACGGCGAGUGUCCCGCCUCCCUCCGCCCACCUCAUUACACAUCAUGCACCAUGCACCUGAGAUUGUAUAUGGUAUGCACUGUAAUUUUUAUAUAUUUAUUGCAUGCAUUGAUGAUCGGAGAAUAUGCCAGGGUUCAUAUGUAUGCAUCUUUAGCACCAAUGUAUGUCGUAGUUCACAUAUAUGUAUUUUUACGCACUUUUCUACAAUGUUUAUAUUUAAUUGGUUAAUUGAUCACAAGGUCCUGCGUGACCAUAAAAAGCCAGAAGCUGUAACAUUAGUUGCUUGAUAAUGGA